CAACCCUCAAGCCCCGCUUGGUGAUGGGCCUCGCCUCCGCGGCGGGCCCGAAACUCGUAGGCGUCUCCUGCCGGCUCCAAGCGUAGCAAAACCCUCGCUUUGGAGACCGGCUGGCGGCCGCCUCGAACAAAUUUUUACAA
rnacentral:misc_RNA from 1 species